UCUGUGUUUGAAAGACUACAGGUAGGAGUAGAUGGGUGAAAUUAAUUUAGUUUUUUUAAAUAAUCUAAAAUGAUCCCCUAAAUACAUAAAUAUGGCAGUAAGUUCAUAUACAGGAUAAUGCUGCAUACAAAUGUGUCAUACAUCUCCUAUUACAAAUGUCCAACACCUGCACCUUGUUAGCUCUCUUGUUAGUGCUGUAUAAAUAAAACAUAUAUAAUCCCAUACAUACAUGCACUUAUUUGACAUAAAUAAAAAUAGGGAAAAUAAAGGGGAAUUUUCAGAGUGCAGGAAAACACUUGCUGAUGUAUUUACCCCAUGAAUCAGUUCAUUGGUUGCAAACAACAUGCCAUGAGUAGGUAGAAGGCAGCUGAUAUUAAUUUUUCUUUAACUAGUUGAUAUUUAAUUGGUCAUGCCAGAAUGAGUAACAGGCAGAGAGAAGUUCAUGGAUCAGACCAGUUAGAAACUUCAUAAAAUGUCAUCAUCAUUGUCCAGGAUACAGAACAAACAAGCCAGGCUUGGGGACAGGAGACAGAGAAGGAGGAGAUAAUUAAAUAUACAGGUUUCAGGGUUGUAGAUGAAGAUGCCAUGUUUCCUGUAGCAAAUUUAAUCCACAUCAUUAUUUAAGUGAAUUGAUAAGGAAAUGUACACUAAUUAGCAGACAGAGGUGUGGUGAAAUUUUAUCACUGUGACAAUAGGCAUUAAUUGCACAGAGACAGCCUACCUGGCCUGCUGUUUGGACAAGAUCAUCAUACAUUAUAAAUUGAAUCUUGUAAAACUAACAGUUAACUAGCUCAGUGCCUGGUAGAAUUUAAAGCCAUGAAUUUCUGUGCAGUAACUACAUUUCCCUAGAGGCUUUCUCAGCCACCCUGCUAGCUGAGCAUCAUGGUAAAUGUAGUUCAAAAACAUUUGAUAUGCCAAUUUCCUAAUGCAAUGUCUAGCUCAGGUAUUCUUCACAAGUUGACAGGUUUGUCAUUAACACACAAUGCAUGCACGAAUUGUAGGAGAUCGUUAAAGUUUUCACACCCAGGUGUGAGAUUUUCCUUUUCUUUAGACAAUGCACAAUAAACCCACCUACAUUAUAUAGCAGACACCGUGCAAUAUAAAUCCUGUCUGUUCUGGAGAGUCUGAUACUCUAUGUCUAGGAAUCUAUACUUUGUUUAAAUAGUAGGAAGUAGGAAAGUAAACAGAAAUGGACGUACAAUUCUACAGACAAAUACAAGUUCUUUUUCCUGUCUGCUGUUGUUAUUGAAUAUUAUUAAACUGGACAUGGGUGACAGGUCAGUGAUAAGUAAGUUCUUAAAGUAUUAAUUUGAUCAGGGAUUUCCUUUUCUUCGACGUUUCGGCUCCCAGUGGAUCAUUUAUGUCACUUUAAGAGGAAUGCUCAGAAAUAGGGAAACACACGCAUGGUAACAAACAGAAUGAUAGAUGGAUAAAUAGAUAAAUAAAUAGAAAGACAGACAGACAGAUGGACGGACUUGGGUUUGGUUGGAUGGAGAGAGAGAAAGAUAGAGGUAGAAGGAGAAUCAGACAGACAGAAAUGUACAACCCAAGUUCUAUUUUGUAUUUAUUAGUUUCCACCAAAUGUAAGUACACAUUUACCAUUACAAUUGUAAUAUACUGAAAAAGACGUGUAGUAAAUAUAAUUUUUUUUAUCAAUUAUAAGGUUUAUUUGAUAGAUAACAUAGUUGAAAGAAAUACAUGUAAACACACUACCUGAAAAAAAAAAUAUCCACACACACAUAGACAAUUAAGGAACAUAAUGUAGAAUGUAAGCUCAUGGAGCAGGGCCCUACACCCCUCUGUUCCUGUACGUCCAGUUGUAUGGUUACAAUUACAUGUCUGUUAGUCCACCCAUUGUACAGUGCUACGGAAUCUGAUGGCGCUAUAUAAAUAAUAAAAUAAUAAUAAUAAGGACAAUUUAAUAUGAAGUAAGCUGAUAUUUAUAUAAAUACUUUUGCGACAGACACACACACAAACAAACAAACAAACAUAUGUAUGUAUGUAUAUGUACAAUGCAAGCACACAUUUGCUAUUCAGUCAAACACACAUACACACGUACGAAUGGCUACAAUGCAAGCACACAUUGCCUUACUAACUAUUCAAAGGCCUGAAGGCACAUAUAGUUUGUGAAACGUUGUGUAUAGUUCAGCUUCAAUUUAAAUUUGAUGGAUUGAUACAUCUUCUUAAAGACGACCCAUCUAUCAGUUUAUAUACCUCUCUGGCUUUCUCCAGCCAGUCACUGUAAAGGGGAAAUAACCUAAAUUCCAGAGAAAAUCAUCUACUUGCCACAAGUUAAUGCUUAACUUUGCAAGAAACAAACUUCCCCAGAGAAUACAAAGAGAAAAAAACAUGCAUUUAUUUCCCAUUUCAUCUCUUCCUGUUUUAUACUUUGAUUUAAACUGACUUUGUACUCUGUUAAACUACUUGCUAUGAUGUUUGUAAUUAGCAUAAUAAAAAUUCCACUGGAGGAAACAGAUACUAAAGUCACCAAAAGAGACAAUUUGUCACUGUCUUCAUAACAUAAAUCAGUGAUGAGUAUUACUGUGAUUUACUUAUUUGUCUAAAAGUACGUUUUGUGCAUAACAUGCUCCCACCCUUUGCAGAUCAGUAAACUAGGGAGUUUCAGUUUCCAAAAAUGGAUUUUAUUAAUCAAUAACUAUAUGUUGAUGAUGCAAUAAAAACAAAGUGUACAUAUGUUACCGAUAUACAAAUUAUUAUAUUGCAUUUUAAGAGAUAUAUUUUAGUUCACCAAUCAGACAAAAUAUUUGACAUUUUUAUAUCAAAAAUGCUGCUUGCAAUUAUACAUUUUACAAUUGUCUUGAUUUUUGUAUCAUAAUCUCAAGUGGUGUAGACUUGUGAAAAUGGAUCAAUCACUGAUGGUAUCAAUACUCGGUGAUAUGUUUCAGCCAAUCACAUUACUACAUGUGUUUAUUAUACAAUCCAUUGCCAGGGUUACCUGGUUAAUAUGGUACAUGGCAUUUUCGACAUUCAGGAAGUAUUACUUUACUGAGAGGGCAGUGGCUGCAUGGAAUAGCCUUCCAGCUGAAGUGGUAGAGGUUAACACAGUGAGGGAGUUUAAGCAUGCGUGGGAUAGGCAUAAGGCUAUCCUAACUAUAAGAUAAGGCCAGG
rnacentral:lncRNA from 1 species